AGGCUUUGAUCCUGGCUCAGGAUGAACGCUGGCGGCGUGCCUAACACAUGCAAGUCGAGCGAUUCUCUUUUGAGAAGAGCGGCGGACGGGUGAGUAACGCGUGGGUAACCUGCCCUGUACACACGGAUAACAUACCGAAAGGUAUGCUAAUACGGGAUAACAUAUUUUGAUGGCAUCAUCGAAAUAUCAAAGCUCCGGCGGUACAGGAUGGACCCGCGUCUGAUUAGCUAGUUGGUGAGGUAAUGGCUCACCAAGGCGACGAUCAGUAGCCGACCUGAGAGGGUGAUCGGCCACAUUGGAACUGAGACACGGUCCAAACUCCUACGGGAGGCAGCAGUGGGGAAUAUUGCACAAUGGGCGAAAGCCUGAUGCAGCAACGCCGCGUGAGCGAUGAAGGCCUUCGGGUCGUAAAGCUCUGUCCUCAAGGAAGAUAAUGACGGUACUUGAGGAGGAAGCCCCGGCGUA
rnacentral:rRNA from 1 species